GGUAGAGAUUAAACUAUGAGUGAUUCACGAGAACAAAAUUCCUGAAAGCGCAUGAUAGCCUGAAGAACGUAGAAAAUGACACCCAAAAUAUCUAAAGAAUACUAAAACGCGCUUCCCUUGUGCCAUGUAGCUAGUAUUAACUUCUCUCUACGUCCACCCAGACCUGCCUGUUCACAGCACGACAAAGCCACUUACCUAUAAAAACACAACACCUUUCCCAUUGACGUUGUCUUUACACAAACACCGUUAUCUCUUCAAAACCAAUAAAAAGCCAACGUGUGCGCAAGACGUGUUGACGCCGUUAGUCCUUGUAACAAAUUAAAGCAGCCUUUAUAUUUCGUGCUAAUCUAUAUCACUACCAUCUAGACAUUAGUUUCUACUUUUAAUCAUCCCUCUCCAAGUUUCAACCAAUGGUUUUAAUGGGUCUUUGCCUCUUUGGGGUCAAAAGAGAAGAUUAAUUUUUCAACUACGUGUUUUACAAGUUACUGCUUAUGGUAAUGAUUUCGAU
rnacentral:lncRNA from 1 species